GCGGCUACACCCAAUUCACCCACAAAAAACUUCUCUCUCCCAUUCUUCCACGGUACCACCUCCGACCUCCAUGCUUGACAGAAAGAGAGCCCGAGGGAGCCAGAGAGUGCUGUCCAGUGUCCAUCGUCAAGGAAGUCGCCAAUCGUUUCUCGAAGGCGUUCAUCCGUAGCCGUCGCAGGGUCGCCGUCGCUGGUCGCUGCUCGCUGGGUCGCCGUCACUCCUGUCACCAAGCCCUCUCCUGCAAAAAGCAAGUGAAGAAUGUCUUCUUCAGAGCCAACAAGCAAUGAGGUGCCCAAUGAGCGGACGCCUAAAGUUGGGGGUGAAAUUGUUGAGUCUGUGGUACGUUCUUCAACGGACAGCGGCAUGCUUACCAAAUCCCCGCCCCAUUCUAGAUCAAAGUGUGUUUAUUUUUGUUAGUUUUGCUAGACAUUUUUAGUUGUCUUUGUUUUAUAUUUAAUUAAGUUGAAUCUGUAUUAAAUUUGGAUGUGAUAUACUCUUGUUAUUCUAGUUUAUUGAAGGUUUUAAAUUUUAUUUUAUAAUAAUUUUAAUUUUGAUCAA